AUUGUUUCUCGGCCUUUUGGCUGAGAGGGAGUGUAGUAUGUGUUCUUAUCAGAGUUUUAUAUCUGAUGCAUUGUUCGUGAGAGCACGCUAUUUUAAAGGGUCUUUUGAAGUCGAGAGUUGGAUCCGGAGCUUGUUCCGUCCGCUCCGCGCAUCGUCCCGGUAAUGCGGUGCAUCCCCC
rnacentral:snRNA from 1 species